rnacentral:rRNA from 1 species
UUCCGUAGGUGAACCUGCGGAAGGAUCAUUACUGAGAGGGGCUUCGUGCUCCGGGGGUUUCGGCCCUCGACUCUUCACCCUUUGUGUAUAUACCUUUGUUGCUUUGGCGGACCCGAGAAUGCUCUCGCGCUGGCUCUUGGGCCGGUGAGCGUCCGUCAGAGGCCUAUAUAAUUCUGUUUAUUGUGGAUGUCCGAGUCAAAUUUAAUGAAUAAAAACUUUCAACAACGGAUCUCUUGGUUCCAGCAUCGAUGAAGAACGCAGCGAAAUGCGAUAAGUAAUGUGAAUUGCAGAAUUCAGUGAAUCAUCGAAUCUUUGAACGCACAUUGCGCCCCUCGGCAUUCCGGGGGGCAUGCCUGUUCGAGCGUCAUUGCACCUCUCAAGCGUAGCUUGGUAUUGGGCCCUCGCCCCCGCGGCGUGCCCGAAAAUCAGUGGCGGUCCGGUGCGACUUCAAGCGUUGUAAUAUCUUCCCGCUCUGGAGUACCCGCCGUGGCCGGCCAAAGAACCCCAUUUAUUUCUAUAAUUGACCUCGGAUCAGGUAGGGGUACCCGCUGAACUUAAGCAUAUCAGUAAGCGGAGGAAAAGAAACCAACA